AUAAUUUUUUGUUUAUCUUUUUUAGUAGCAUAAUAGUGCCGUGUCCAUACCAUAUAUAAUACGUAGUGUAUAUUCGUACGCACUUUUGCGUACGUAUAUAUUCAUCUGCUAUUCGCACGUAAAGUGCGUACAAAUAUUUAGUUCCUAUAUAAAACGUGUUUGCUUAUACUAACUGCUCUGGUUUAUUAUAUAGUUCACCUUCUCUUAAAAAAUUAACAGUCGCUGCAACUAUGAUCUUAAGCUUCUUAGCGUUUGGCUAAGAGCAAACAAAAUUUCACUGAAUGCUAGUAAAACUGAAGUUAUAUUAUUCAGAUCUAAAUAUAAAACUGUGCUGAAAAAUUUGAACUUCAGGCUUAGUGGAAGAGGGUGCCGAUAAGCCGCAAACGCCCGCAUAUAUACGGGCAAGCUCGAAUAAAAACGAAACCGCCUGCAUUUUCCCGAACUCGCCCAAGACAUUCCCGAAAUGCAGUUCCUUGUAACAAACCAUGCGGACGAUGGUUGGGAAGAAGGCGCUUGACGAGAAAGGAGUUAAUAACGUUUAGCUAUAUAUAAGUUAUUUAUAAAGUAAACUUCUUUAAAAACCAUCAAAAACAGUUCUUCUAAGAACUUCGCUACGACAUAGUAAGUUUAUUUUAAUUUUUAUAGUUUUUUUGAAUCAUAUAUUAGUGUCUGUUUUUUUUUCUUUUGGGCAUUGUUCGGGUCUAUGCGGGUUUUUUCGGGCGAAUACUUGAAUUUUUUUCAAAACGCCGAACUCGCCCGAAAACGCCCGCACUUUUUACGGCGUAUGCGGCUUAUCAGCACCCUCGUCUUAGUGGUCAAAAACUUCUUUUAACCAACUGUGUGAAUUAUCUUGGUUUACUCAUUGACGAACCCCUGUCAUGGGAUAAACAUACAAAUAUACUGUUAAAUAAAUUAAAUAGAGCCUCAGGCAAUCUUGCAAAGGUGAGACACUAUGCACCAUACCCAACCCUCAUAAGUAUCUACUAUGCCCUAUUUACUUCACAUAUAACUUAUGGAUGCCAGAUCUGGGGCCAAAAUAACACCAUAAACAAAGCUAAAAUAAUUGCUCUGCAAAAUAAGGUCCAGCGUAUCUUGCAUUAUGAAACUAACAGAGAUAAAUACAACCCUCUUUAUAAGCAAGCUGGUGUACUAAAACUGAAGGAUUAUAUUUCUCUGGUUAAUUGUCUCCUGGCUUUUGACCAACGUUGCAACUCUCUACCUAACAUAUUUCAUGACUUCUUUACACCCGUGGGUAACAAUCAUUCACAUAACACCUGUGCCUCGAAACUUAACCUGUCUGUUAGCAGAACUAACACAAUCAUCUAUGGAACUUUCUCAAUACACGGGCUCACAGUUUCAAAAAAAUACUGCGCGCGCAUAUCAUAACAUUACGUAAUGCACAUGCGCGCGCAGAAAAGGCAGUAAAGAAUGUAAACAAACAACGUAGAAAUACGAGUCCCUAGCUUGUUUUUGCCUUGGAAAUCAUAAAAAUCACCCAACUAAGCUUUGAUAUGAUAAAAAACAAACAAAUAAUAAUGCCUCUAGGCAGAUGUAAUAAUCCUUUUUCAGCUAUAAUUCAUCUAUGUAUAACAAAAAUAAGGCGCAUGCAGCGCAAGAGAAACCGAAGAUUGCUGUUUCGUUUUCCAUCUUUGUUUGAAAACUGAGACAGCAGUGUAAAUACCAGAUCAAGAGAAUUAAAGUAGAUAUCUAUUUAUAAACUCGUAAACACGCUGUGUAAAGUAGCGCACAUGGGUUUUUUUGCGAUUACUUUCUCUUUCGAUUUUUAUCAGUGGAAACAAAUAUACAGUUAAUUUAACUAUGUCAUCGAACUUAGAAGCAUCCCUUUAUAAGGAAAAUAUGUUGCAAGAUUUUAAAAUGUGGAGUGAAAAUGCACUAAAAACUUAUUUAAAUCUUUGCGCCAAGUCAACUGAGGGAGAUUUUGUGUGACUUGUGUAAUGGUUGGUUUCACUUUAGUUGUGUAAGAUAAGGACUGAAGAAGAUAUUCCAUUGGACUCUAAUUCUUUCCUAUGUGUUAAAUGUACACGAGUAAUAAUACUAGAAGUGUAAAUAUAUAAGAAAUAUAUACCUUAUAAAAAUAUAAAAUAUCUUUUUUAUUUACAAAUCUUGAAUAUAAUAUAUUCAUAUAUACAUCAGAUGAUAGAUUUUCCAAAGUUACAUAACAAUAAUAACAAUAACAUCAUCAAACAGUUUAAUCAUACUGAUUGGGUACUCUGAACCUAAGAUACGAAAUGACUUGAGUCAACGAGGAUUCCUAAAUUUGCAAUCCGUUUUGUUUUUCGUAUUUCCGCAGGAGUCAUUUGGGCACUUCAUUUUUUACCAGGAGGUAACUUGUAUGAACAAUUGUUAACAGAUUGAUGUAACACAUUACGGGUGGCAGAUUGUUUAUUGAAUUGAUUUUUAAAUAAUUUUUUGUUGUGGUAAGUGACACGAUUUUCUUCUUCAAAAGUUUGUUUUUGGCUUUUAGUUUCAGGAUAUUUUCAGAGAGUGCAUUUAAAUGUAAUUCUCUUUCCUUAUUUGAAUCCGAAACUGUAAAAUCUGCAUUAUAUUGAUGUGAAACAAGGUCAGGUGAAAUCAUCUCUUGUUGGGGUGAAAAGCUAGUUGAUACUGUACUAUUAGGUGACAAUAACUCUGGCAAUGGUGAAGAAAUACAAUAUUCAAUGCUUACCAGGACUUUGAAUAUCAAUAUUAAUGUCACUGUUUGAUGCUAUGCUACUAACACAAGAACUUUCAAUACUGGGAUCCACUUUCUUUGUUUUAGAUGUUUGCUUUUUUUAUGACAAUGUUGAAUAUGACAACUUCCGUCGACGUGUUGCAGAGGGUAAAAACUUCUUAGUCCUUGAAGCUGAUUCAUAACCAAGACAUACAGUUGGAUAAGGAUGCUCGUAUGAUGGUUCCCUGCUAACAAAAUGUUUGGAACAAACCCGUUGUUUGAGUCUAACUGUCAUUAAUUUUGCUGGAUUUUUUUGGGCUGGCACAAUUAUUAAGUUGCCUCCAUUUAUUAUAAGCAUCAGAUCUCUUGGUUUUAGAAGGCAAGGUUCUUUACAUGAGCAUGCAUCAGAACGUCUGGUAACAUUGUGAACAUCACAGACGUUAUCCCUCCAAACUUCAAGGUUGUACUCGCUGUCGGCACAAUUCAAAACUGCACACAUAACCGAUCGUUUUCUUUUUUACUUGGUGGAUCCAUUAUAACCAAAUUUUCUUGAAAAAUGUAAGUAUAAGUUCUGAAAUAAAACGUUCUUUGCCUUUGACUUCUCUGAGCGAAAGAUACUUUACUGCCUUUUCUGCGCGCGCUAUUACGUAAUGUUAUGAUAUUAAAAUUAAAAUCAGCCAUACGUAAGUACUUCUUUAAUAGCUAUGAUGAAGUAAAUUAAUUAAUUCCACCAAUUUAUUGCAUUUAUUUAAACAUAACUUUCCAUGGAUAAAUGUUAUUUGCUGUAAGUAACUCCCUGAGAAUUCUGUGUUUCUGUUCUUAAUUGUCUGUUAGUAUGUUUGUUGUUGUUGUUUUUUGGUUGCUUUUUUGUUGUUGUUGAUGUUUUUUUUUUGUUUGUUUUUUAUUGUUUUUUUUUUUUUGUUGUUGUUUUCUCUACUUCUUUCUCUUCUUCUCACUUGUCCAUCUGCUAUUCCUUUCUUCUUAUUCCUCUCUACAGGUUUCAUUGUUAUGUUGUUUUUUUUGUUUGUUUUGUUUGGUUUAUACUCACACUUUUUUUUAGGGUCACCAUAGCUAGUGCACAAUAACUAUUCUAUGGCCUUCCCCACAUGUAAUGUCUUACUAAGCGUUCAUUACCAGAACCUAUUUUAUAUAAUGCCCAAGAGUGUUCAUUUUUAUUUGUAUAUUUUCAUAUUUGAGUAUGUAACCA